GCAUAUCAAUAAGCGGAGGAAAAGAAACCAACAGGGAUUGCCCUAGUAACGGCGAGUGAAGCGGCAACAGCUCAAAUUUGAAAUCUGGCUCUCUUUGGGAGUCCGAGUUGUAAUUUGCAGAGGAUGCUUUGGCAUUGGCGGCGGUCUAAGUUCCUUGGAACAGGACAUCACAGAGGGUGAGAAUCCCGUACGUGGUCGCCUGCCCUUGCCGUGUAAAGCUCCUUCGACGAGUCGAGUUGUUUGGGAAUGCAGCUCUAAAUGGGAGGUAAAUUUCUUCUAAAGCUAAAUACUGGCCAGAGACCGAUAGCGCACAAGUAGAGUGAUCGAAAGAUGAAAAGUACUUUGGAAAGAGAGUCAAAAAGCACGUGAAAUUGUUGAAAGGGAAGCGCUUGCAGCCAGACUUGCCCGCAGUUGCUCACCUAGGCUUUCGCCUGGGGCACUCUUCUGCGGGCAGGCCAGCAUCAGUUUGGGCGGUUGGAUAAAGGCCUCUGUCACGUAUCUCCCUUCGGGGUGACCUUAUAGGGGAGGCGCAAUGCAACCAGCCCGGACUGAGGUCCGCGCAUCUGCUAGGAUGCUGGCGUAAUGGCUGUAAGCGGCCCGUCUUGAAACACGGACCAAGGAGUCUAACAUCUAUGCGAGUGUUUGGGUGUCAAGCCCGAGCGCGCAAUGAAAGUGAACGGAGGUGGGAACCCUUUGGGUGCACCAUCGACCGAUCCUGAUGUCUUCGGAUGGAUUUGAGUAAGAGCAUAGCUGUUGGGACCCGAAAGAUGGUGAACUAUGCUUGAAUAGGGUGAAGCCAGAGGAAACUCUGGUGGAGGCUCGCAGCGGUUCUGACGUGCAAAUCGAUCGUCAAAUUUGGGCAUAGGGGCGAAAGACUAAUCGAACCAUCUAGUAGCUGGUUCCUGCCGA
rnacentral:rRNA from 1 species